AUUAGAUAUUUUAUAAAAAUACUCUCAACUUCAAGAUCGCAAACGGUGGCUUCAGAUCCACAUAUAAUACAUAAACUUUUUUCUUUAUAAGCAUCCAUAAUACAUAAACAUGACAUAGAUUACUUUUUUCUUCAUAAGCAUCCAUAAUACAUAAACUUGACAUAGAUUUAUUUUCAACCACGACUAGAAACUUAGUUGCGCGCAGAGAGCACAAGUAGUAUUUGAAGAGAUAGAAAUCUAAUUGAUCCGCGCAAAAUCAAGAGACUUCUUUCCUUCAUGGGCAUUGCCAAAGAAAUUUUUCAUAUAAUCUCCAAACACCACUUCUCUAUAAAGAGCCACACCAUCACGUUCCACAAGGUGGCGCAAUGGCCCAAUCUUUUCUGUCGUAUUUGGGAUGGUAAAAACAGGGAUCGAUACUCUCGAUUGCUCACUUGUUGUACGCACCCUGUGUUCAGCACUCUUAUACCUUCCAUUGCUUAGUAUCUGCAAGGUAUCACCAACAUUAAUGACUAAAGCACCAGGAAUUGGUGGGAUCUCCAGCCACUCUCCUUUUUGCUUGCCAUCUAUGUUCUCUUCCACUUUGACAUAAAGACCACCAAUUUCAUCUUGCAGCAACACAGUGAGGGUACCCAUAUCAGAAUGACGACCCACUCCAACAGUCAGCUCUGGAUUUGGACAUGUUGGAUAGAAGUUCAUGUUAACCAUCUUGAAACCAAUUAGUGCAUCUAUUUUUGCAGCUUCCACUGUCACUCCAAGCUUUUCCAUCAGAAUUUUCAAUAUCUUUUCCACCAUCUUGAUUGAUGUUCUUAGGUAUUCCAGUGCAACAUCCUUGCAUUCUUCAGGCCAAACUUUAAGUGCUUCGGAAUCAUUAGUAUAAAGCAUACUGACGUAGUCUUUCCACUCCAAUGCCUUCUCUUUCUCUGGCGCGAAACUUGUCCCAUACGUCACCAACGGGCUAGGGCUCACACCCUUGCGAUAGGCAGCCUUCUUUUCAGGCGGCUGCCCAAAGAACUUGUGAGCUGCAAUCUUCAAGGACUCAAGCAGCUCCACUGGUACGCCAUGGUUCACAACUUGGAAGAACCCUAGAGUCUCAGCUGUUCUAACAAUUUCCUCAGCCACUCGAUCAUGAUCAGGACCAUCUAGUUUUGACAAAUCAAUGGGUGAGUUUUCACUGGGGGUUGAUUUUAGCUUGUCUAUUCUUUCUUCUGGGGGUUGCACAUAUUGCUGUGGUACCGUUGAUAGACCCCUGUCCACCACCCCCUUCACACCAUAGCCAUCUCGGACCACGAAAUUGAAGAGUGACUCUUUAUCAUCAGAAAAACUUGGAGCCAUUGCUUCACAAGGCAAAGUUUGAGAAAGACUAGUGAAAAUUUUUCCUGAUGCAAACUAGUGCAAAGGAUUGCCGAUAUAUAUAUAACUACGGAGUGAGUAGGUAUAUAACUACGGC
rnacentral:misc_RNA from 1 species